CUCAGUGCCACCGUCCAACUGACUGUGAAUUUUCUUGAUGGCAUUGAGUGUAACACAAGCAGCCCUUUAAACGUCAGCGCUGGUGAGGAUGUGGCGAUUGCUUGUAUCGCAAAAGCUUCACAGUAUUUGCAGUAUACGUGGAUGAGGGGUGACACAACACUGUCUCUCUCAGACACUUUGCCUCUGACCUCCGUAACAUCUGACCAGUCAGGAACAUACAAACUGACAGCUGUCUUUCUGGACAAUCAUCUCCAGACAGACAUGGAGAUUUCUAUCCAGGUUCUCUCAAAGCAAAGUGAAGGAAUGACAACUCCUUUUCCAGUAAGGACCACCAAACAUCUGAGCAGCUUUACCUCCAAUGGGACCAGCUAAUGGAGCACUGAUACCACUGUGACUACAUCAGAAUCUGGUCACUUCCUAGCCAGCACAGUGAAACCAAAUGCAACUCUGACAACCUUACAACCAAAACACACCAGCCAUCCCACUCCUCUCACUGGCAGCUCUUCUGCUCCACCUGUUGGCAAUGCAUCUACAUUACAUGCAAGCACUGUAAAAUCUAUAGACACCUCUACAGACAGUUUGAGCACAACUCCAGAUCCAGCUACAAGAAGAAGAGAAAGAGUCACCACUGUUAUAACACAGAAAAACAUCACCGCUGUUACAGCACCAAAAGAGCCUCCAGCAUCAGUGAAGAUGCUAUAUCCAUAUGGAUUCAUAAAAGAGGGGGAUGAUAUGAAAAUAACUUGUUCAGCGAUCCCUCCACCACUUCGUUAUAAACUGAGACGUUCAAAGAACAAGAUAUUGUGGCUGGAAAACUCAAACGGAGAGUUUAUUUUACCACAUGUCACCAGAAACGACAGCGAUGUGUACAUCU